rnacentral:rRNA from 1 species
GAUGAACGCUGGCGGCGUGCCUAAUACAUGCAAGUCGAGCGAACAGAUGAGGAGCUUGCUCCUCUGACGUUAGCGGCGGACGGGUGAGUAACACGUGGAUAACCUACCUAUAAGACUUGGAUAACUUCGUGAAACCACAGCUACUACCGGCUAAUAUAUUGAACCGCAUGGUUCAAUGGUGCAACCGGUUUUGCCCGUUUUUAUUAGAUGAUUCCGGGCCGCAUUAGCUAGUUGGUAAGGUAACGGCUUACCAAGGAUACGAUGCGUAGCCGGCCUGAGAGGGUGAUCAGCCACACUGGAACUGAGACACGGUCCAGACUCCUACGGGAGGCAGCAGUAGGGAAUCUUCCGCAAUGGGCGAAAGCCUGACGGAGCCACGCCGCGUGAGUGAUGAAGGUCUUCGGAUCGUAAAACUCUGUUAUUAGGGAAGAAAAAAUGUGUAAGUAACUAUGCACGUCUUGACGGUACCCAAGCAGAAAGCCACGGCUAACUACGUG